AAGAAACACACACAUGUUUAGGCAAGGUGCUGGCUAGCUGAGUAGAACACUUGAAAAAGAAGAAGGAGAGCCGCACAUUCUUGGAGCUCAGAGGCAAGUGUAACGGCCGUUGGUGGAAGAAGGUGAGGACCAAGGUGCAGAGUGUGUUGGUCAGUCAGCCAGGAUCUGCCGGAACCACCAGCCAGCCAGGAUCUGCCAGAGCCAUCAACCUGCCUGAGCUUCCUCUCAGUCCUGAGCUUCCUCUCAGUCCUGAGCUUCCUCUCAGUCCUGAGCUCCCUCUCAGUCCUGAGCUCCUCAGUACUGAGCUUCCCCUCAGUCCUGAGCUUCCCCUCAGUCCUGAGCUUCCCCUCAGUCUUGAGCUUCCCCUCAGUCCCGAGCUUCCCCUCAGUCCCGAGCUACCCCUCAGUCCCGAGCUACCCCUCAGUCCUGACCUACCUCAGUCCUGAGCUGCCCCUCAGUCCGGAGCUGCCCCUCAGUCCAGUGGGGCCCGUUGUUAGGGUUCCUAGGCCAAGGUCAGCGGCGAGGGUCGCCACUCAAGGGACGCUAAGGAGGUGGACUAAGACAAUUAUGGAGUGGGGUCCACGUCCAGCGCCAGAGCCGCC
ensembl:lncRNA